rnacentral:lncRNA from 1 species
CAAGCAAAGCCAACACGAGAUUUUUCUGGGGGUUGGCGUAUGAGGAUUGCAUUGGCAAGGGCGCUGUUCAUGAACCCGACCAUCCUUUUGCUUGAUGAGCCAACCAACCAUCUUGGUGAGUAUGAAACAAAUGAAACUGCACUUGAACAUGUAUUUUAAGUGGAAAUGAUGUGUUCUUUUUUGUAUUGCUUGACUAUCGUUAACAUUUUUCUUCGAUAUAAAAUCUUUGGGUGUGUCUAGGGCACAUCUAGAUGUGUCCUAGUUAUUGCACAUCUAAGUGACUAAAUCAAGCAUAGAAAGAAAGUAAAAAAGAAAAUACCCACACAAAUCUCCACGUAAGAUCAAUGACUUAGGACUUAGAUGUGCAAUACUUAUGGCACAUCUAGAUGUGCUUUAGCAAAACUGAAUCUUUGGCUAAUGUGACACACAUCCUUCUACCUCACAAAGUUAUAUGGUACUACUAUACAUAAUCUUGUUUCUCUUACAUAAGAGGUUCUAGUGGACUUUCCUGCAUAGCUUGGUGGUCAGUUGUGCUUACUUUCGAAAACAACCUAAUUUUUUUUUUUGCCUUUGUUUGCAGAUCUUGAGGCUUGUGUCUGGCUGGAAGAGAAAUUAAAGAACUUUGAGCGUAUACUUGUUGUUAUCUCGCAUUCCCAAGAUUUUCUAAAUGGAGUGUGCACUAACAUCAUCCACAUGCAGAACAAGACCCUCAAGUUAUAUACUGGAAAUUAUGACCAGUAUGUUCAAACUCGCUCUGAGCUUGAAGAGAAUCAAAUGAAGCAGUACAAAUGGGAACAGGAACAGAUAGCUAAUAUGAAGGAGUACAUUGCACGAUUUGGUCAUGGAUCUGCGAAGCUUGCUCGUCAGGCUCAGAGCAAGGAGAAGACUCUUGCAAAGAUGGAGCGUGGUGGUCUCGCUGAGAAGGUUGUCAAUGACAGGAUUCUUGUUUUCCGCUUUACAGAUGUUGGCAAACUCCCACCACCAGUGCUGCAGUUUGCUGAUGUCACAUUUGGUUACAGUCCGGAUAAUCUCAUCUACAAGAACCUUGACUUUGGUGUUGACCUUGACUCGAGAGUUGCACUGGUCGGUCCCAAUGGGGCAGGUAAGAGCACACUUCUGAAGCUCAUGACAGGUGACCUAUCUCCGUUGGAUGGCAUGGUCAGACGCCACAACCACCUACGCAUUGCACAAUUCCAUCAACAUCUCACUGAGAAGCUGGACCUGGACAUGCCGGCCCUGCAGUACAUGAUGAGGGAGUACCCUGGGAAUGAAGAGGAGAAGAUGAGAGCUGCAAUUGGCAAGUUUGGCCUGUCAGGAAAGGCACAGGUGAUGCCAAUGAAAAACCUGUCUGAUGGGCAGAAGGCCCGUGUCAUUUUUGCUUGGCUAGCAUUUAGGCAGCCACAGAUGCUGUUGCUUGAUGAGCCGACAAAUCAUCUUGACAUUGAGACCAUUGACUCACUUGCUGAGGCAUUGAAGGAAUGGGACGGGGGGUUGGUCCUGGUGAGCCAUGACUUCAGGCUGAU